rnacentral:rRNA from 1 species
AUUGAACGCUGGCGGCAUGCCUUACACAUGCAAGUCGAACGGCAGCACAGGAGCUUGCUCCUGGUGGCGAGUGGCGAACGGGUGAGUAAUACAUCGGAACGUACCCAGGAGUGGGGGAUAACGUAGCGAAAGUUACGCUAAUACCGCACAUUCUGUGAGCAGGAAAGCGGGGGAUCGCAAGACGUGGCGCGCUUGGAGCGGCCGAUGUCCGAUUAGCUAGUUGUUGAGGUAAAAGCUCACCAAAGCGACGAUCCGUAGCAGGUCUGAGAGGAUGAUCUGCCACACUGGGACUGAGACACGGCCCAGACUCCUACGGGAGGCAUCAGUGGGGAAUUUUGGACAAUGGGGGCAACCCUGAUCCAGCCAUGCCGCGUGAGUGAAGAAGGCCUUCGGGUUGUAAAGCUCUUUCGGCGGGGAAGAAAUGGCAACGGCUAAUAUCCGUUGUUGAUGACGGUACCCGCAUAAGAAGCACCGGCUAACUACGUGCCAGCCGCCGCAGUAAAAC